GGCUCUGUGGCGCAAUGGAUAGCGCAUUGGACUUCUAGAUAAAUUAAGGUAUUCAAAGGUUGUGGGUUCGAGUCCCACCAGAGUCG
rnacentral:tRNA from 1 species